rnacentral:rRNA from 1 species
UCAGUAGCGGCGAGCGAAGCGGGAUAAGCUCAAGUUUGAAAUCCGGGCUUGACUCGGAGUUGUAAGCUGAAGGGUCGUUGGCCGAAGCUGCCUGGGUCCAAUUUUCUUGGAACAGAAAGUCAUUGAGGGUGAGAACCCCGUUCAUGGCUCAGUGCUCCGCUUCCUAGUGCCGGCGCUCCCAAAGAGUCGGGUUGUUUGGGAAUGCAGCUCAAAAUGGGUGGUAAAUUUCAUCUAAAGCUAAAUAUUGGCAAGAGACCGAUAGCGAACAAGUAGAGUGAUCGAAAGGUGAAAAGCACUUUGAAAAGAGAGUGAAACAGUGCGUGAAAUUGUUGAAAGGGAAGCGCUUGGCAUCAGCCCGUGACUUCUGGCCAUCCCCCCAGCUAAUGUUGGGUGCACUGGCCUGGAGUUGGGCCAGCGUCGGCUCUGCCCGCCUUAGAAAGGCUGUGGGGACGUGGCUCCUUUUGGAGUGUUACAACCCACAGCGGCAUGGGGUGAGGUGGGGCCGAGGUCUGCG